CCUACGGGGUGCUGCAGUAGGGAAUCUUUCACAAUGGGCGAAAGCCUGAUGGAGCAACGCCGCGUGCAGGAUGAAGGCCUUCGGGUUGUAGACUGCUUUUAUAAGCGAGAAAUAUGAUGGUAACUUAUGAAUAAGGAUCGGCUAACUACGUGCCAGCAGCCGCGGUCAUACGUAGGAUCCGAGCAUUAUCCGGAGUGACUGGGUGUAAAGAGUUGCGUAGGUGGCAUAAUAAGUAGCUAGUGAAAUCUGGUGGCUCAACCAUUCAGACUAUUAGCUAAACUGUUAAGCUCGAGACCGUUAGGGGUAACUGGAAUUUCUAGUGUAGGAGUGAAAUCCGUAGAUAUUAGAAGGAACACCAAUAGCGUAGGCAGGUUGCUGGGACGGUUCUGACACUAAGGCACGAAAGCGUAGGGAGCAAACGGGAUUAGAUACCCGUGUAGUC
rnacentral:rRNA from 1 species